GGGCCGGGCGGGCGCGGGCCGGUGCCGCGGGGUGCGGGGACCUGGUGGAGCGGGGCCAUGGCCCCACAGCCCGGGGCGGCCCCUCGGGAGGGUGCGAGAACAGAAUGUUUUCUUUUUAUACGAGGGGGCUGAACUCCGCAGCUGGGAAGGUUUGAAACAGCCCGGAGAGCCGGGCGCGGGCAGCGGCGGCCGAGGUGGAUUCGUGCGCCGAAGGUUUUCUACCUCUGGUCUCUGACGGCCCUCCUGCCCCAGUGCUUCCCCUCGCCUGCCUUCUCGGGAUCCAGGCAUUUCGUACUUCAGGAGGAAUUUGGGUUACUCUGGAGUGACGUUUGGCUUAGAUGUGAGAUUUUUGUAAAAGGUCACGUUGCAGAAAUAGACUUCAAAACUGACUUAUUCCAGCUAAAGGUGUUUUUCAAUAGUAACGAGGGAUGAGGUUAAGACAGAGGUUGAAAGGACCGUGACCACUGUUUUACAUCUCCUGAGCACCACUGGAACCCCCAGUAUUCUUCUGCUUACAAAAAUAGUUGUGAAAUCCACUGAAAAUAUACUCAACUGGUUCACUCAUGGUGUUUGUCUGAGUGGUAGGGGCAUCUCUGCUCUUCUGAUGAUGUGUUGCUUGGACUUUGAGGCAGGAGGGUUGUUUUUAUUUGAUUUCUGUACUUGUUAUUUCUUUUAAUAAUUUUUAUUUCUGUAAUUUUUAUUUCUUUUUGUUAUUUCUUUCUUCUAGAAAAACUGAAAAUGCUGCAGUAAACUAAUAUGGCAGAAUUGCAUGAACUGCAUGAAGUCAAAUGUUCAGGAAUUAAAUACUAAAAUGGUAUUGUUACAUUAAGUAUAACAAAAUUGUUGAUGUAUAACAAUAUGUGUCUAAUAUAACUAUAUUGUUAUCGUUGCUAUUGAUACAAAAUUUUCUUACAGAAUUAGUAAGAUGACCAGACAGUGGGGUUUCACUGGCUUCACAGGUUUUAGAUUGGCAAAGCCUAGCAUGCGUUAACAAUGCUCAUGUAUGAGCUAAUGGAUUUAGGGAAUACCUAGCAUAGUGUUAACACUUCAGGUGUUAGCACUUCAGCAAAGACAAUGACCCCUUCAAAAAGAGAGAGACUGAAAAUCCACACAUUGAGAUCCUGCUGCUGUCUCACCUCCUGAAGAAGACAGUACCUGGAUGCUGAAUACUACAGUCUGAGGAACUCAGGGAUGUGUGUUUAGAAUUAUAGACUAAUUUAGGAUGGAAAAGACCUUUGGAUUGAAUCCAUCUGUUAACACAACUCUGCCAAGUCCAGCAUUAAACUGUGUCCCUAAGCACCACA